UACGAAGGGUGCAAGCGUUACUCGGAAUUACUGGGCGUAAAGGGUGCGUAGGUGGUUUGUCAAGUCAUCUGUGAAAUCUCCGGGCUUAACCCGGAACGGUCAGGUGAUACUGUUUUGCUAGAGUGCGGAAGGGGCAAUCGGAAUUCUCGGUGUAGCGGUGAAAUGCGUAGAUAUCGAGAGGAACACCAGAGGUGAAGACGGGUUGCUGGGCCGACACUGACGCUGACAGCGCGAAAGCCAGGGGAGCAAACGGG
rnacentral:rRNA from 1 species